UCUUCUGUCUCCUUUACGCCACUAGGUGCUCAGUUACUUUGCACCGUAAAGAGUUUUCGGGGUGAAAUUCAGCCCAACUGGUGACUCAAAGGCUCUCUCGAGACGUCCCAGCGAGAGGACCAGGUGGUGGGUGCAAGUUGCUGAUUAACCUUUCAGACCCACGGUUUGCAGAUUUAGAGUGAGGUCCUCGGUUUACGUUGGGUCAGCUUCGCCCUCCCUUUCUUUCCCCCACAUCCCACACCCCCCUCCCGCUGCCACCGCGAGAAAAAUGUGCAAAGAGAAGGAAAUUUGCACAUCAAACGAGGGAGCAAGACAUUAAAAACUAAUCUGAGAAGAGAGCCCAGGACCCAGAAACUUUGGACAGAAAACCAGAGAGGAUCUUUUCUGAUGUCCUGACACAGAGAAAGGGCUGUGGUGCUUUCCGAAGAUCCUGGCCAGGAAAGAUGUUUUGCCAUGGGAUCAAGAGACUGGCGCUGGGAUUCAGAGUACUGGGGACUUCUGUGACAGCCUGAAGUUGGCUGGAAGAUAUGGCAGCUUGGUCAAGCCAUUUAAUUCUAGUGUUGGUGUUGGUCUUUCAUUUAUAAGAUGAAGUGGGAGGUAGAGAGGCCCCUUCUGCCUAGGCAAGCCUCUCUCUCUUUCACUUAAAAAAAAAAAAAAUUAUUGCCAGGACAAGGCCUUUUAUAUUCUGAUUAAAUAAAUAUAUCCUGUAAGAGGCCCAUUUUUCAGGCAACCUAAAAUAAUAACCCCUGAC